rnacentral:rRNA from 1 species
UUAAGUAAUUAAGUGCAUAUGACGGAUGCCUUGGCAGUUAGAGGCGAUGAAGGACGUGAUAAUCUGCGAUAAGCUUCGGUAAGCUGAUAAAUAAGCUACAACCCGAAGAUCUCCGAAUGGGAAAACCCUCUUAGGAUAACCUAAGAAUCUUUAUCUGAAUACAUAGGAUAAAGAAGCUAACGUAGGGAACUGAAACAUCUAAGUACCUAUAGGAAAAGAAAUCAAUUGAGAUUCUGUGAGUAGCGGCGAGCGAAAGCGGAACAGCCCUUAAGCAAUUAAAGAAAAAACUUAACAAGUUGGGAAGCUUGACCAUAGAAGGUGAUAGUCCUGUAAAUUAAUUUUCUUUUUUUGUGAAAUCGAGUAGGUCGGGACACGUGAAAUCUUGACUGAAUAUGGGGGGACCAUCCUCCAAGGCUAAAUACUCCUAACUGACCGAUAGUGAACUAGUACCGUGAGGGAAAGGCGAAAAGAACCCCGGAGAGGGGAGUGAAAUAGAACCUGAAAUCAUAUGCAUACAAGCUGUAGGAGCUUUAAGUUUAUUUUCGGAUAAACGGAGUGACUGCGUACCUUUUGUAUAAUGGGUCAGCGAGUUACUGUCUGUGGCAAGCUUAACUUUAUAAGGUAGGCAUAGGGAAACCGAGUCUUAAUAGGGCGUUGAGUCGCAGGGAGUAGACCCGAAACCGGGCGAUCUAUCCAUGGCCAGUGUGAAGGUAAGGUAAUACUUAUUGGAGGCGCGAACCCACUUAUGUUGAAAAAUGAGGGGAUGAGCUGUGGAUCGGAGUGAAAGGCUAAUCAAGCUCGGAGAUAUCUGGUUCUCCUCGAAAGCUAUUUAGGUAGCGCCUCGUGUAUUACUGUUGGGGGUAGAGCACUGUCUCGGCUAGGGGGUCAUCCCGACUUACCAAACCGACGCAAACUCCGAAUACCAACAAGUAUUAGCACGGGAGACACACUGCGGGUGCUAACGUCCGUAGUGGAAAGGGAAACAACCCAGACCGCCAGCUAAGGUCCCAAAUUAUGAUUAAGUGGGAAACGAUGUGGGAAGGCUUAAACAGCUAGGAGGUUGGCUUAGAAGCAGCCAUCCUUUAAAGAUAGCGUAACAGCUCACUAGUCGAGUCGGCCCGCGCGGAAGAUAUAACGGGGCUAAAUCAUAAACCGAAGCUGCGGAUAGGUCCUUUUGGAUCUAUGGUAGAGGAGCGUUCUGUACGCCAGUGAAGGAGGAUUGUGAAAUUCUCUGGAGGUAUCAGAAGUGAGAAUGCUGACAUGAGUAACGAGAGAAAGGUGAAAAACCUUUCCGCCGAAUGAUCAAGGUUUCCUGUCCAACGCUAAUCGGGACAGGGUAAGUCGGUGCCUAAGGCGAGGGCGAAAGCCGUAGUCGAUGGAAAACAGGUUAAUAUUCCUGUACUUCCUAUUAUUGCGAUGGAGUGACGGAGAAGGCUAUAUCAGCAGGGCGAUGGUUGUCCCUGUUUAAGGUUGUAGGCUGGUGUUUUAGUUAAAUGCGGAACACCUUUAGCUGAGAACUGAUGACGAUCAACUUUUUAAGUUGAGAAGUGAUAGAUGCCAUGCUUCCAGGAAAAACUUCUAAGCUAUAGAUAGUAGGGAGCCGUACUGUAAACCGACACAGGUGAUCAAGUAGAGAAUACUAAGGCGAUUGAGAGAACUUGGGUUAAGGAACUAGGCAAAAUGGUACCGUAACUUCGGGAGAAGGUACGCCUCUAUUACGUGAAAGAACUUGCUUCUGGAGCGGAAAGAGGUCGAAGAUACCAGGUGGCUGCGACUGUUUACUAAAAACAUAGCACUCUGCAAACACGUAAGUGGAAGUAUAGGGUGUGACGCCUGCCCGGUGCCGGAAGGUUAAUUGAUCAGGUUAGUCCUCGGACGAAGCUUGUGAUCGAAGCCCCGGUGAACGGCGGCCGUAACUAUAACGGUCCUAAGGUAGCGAAAUUCCUUGUCGGGUAAGUUCCGACCUGCACGAAUGGCGUAACGAUGGCCAUACUGUCUCGACCCAGGACUCAGUGAAAUUGAAUUUGCGGUGAAGAUGCCGUAUACGCGCGGCAAGACGGAAAGACCCCGUGCACCUUUACUAUAGCUUCACACUGGACUUUGAAUUUAUAUGUGUAGGAUAGGUGGGAGACUUUGAAGCAGGAGCGCUAGCUCUUGUGGAGUCGUCCUUGAAAUACCACCCUUAUACAUUUGAGGUUCUAACUCAGUCCCGUAAUCCGGGUCGAGGACAGUGUGUGGUGGGUAGUUUGACUGGGGCGGUCUCCUCCUAAAGAGUAAC